AUUCUGUAGCAAGGUUAACCGUAUAGGGGAGCCGGAGGGAAACCGAGUCUUAACCGGGCGUUAAGUUGCAGGGUAUAGACCCGAAACCCGGUGAUCUAGCCAUGGGCAGGUUGAAGGUUGGGUAACACUAACUGGAGGACCGAACCGACUAAUGUUGAAAAAUUAGCGGAUGACCUGUGGCUGGGGGUGAAAGGCCAAUCAAACCGGGAGAUAGCUGGUUCUCCCCGAAAGCUAUUUAGGUAGCGCCUCGUGAAUUCAUCUCCGGGGGUAGAGCACUGUUUCGGCUAGGGGGCCAUCCCGGCUUACCAACCCGAUGCAAACUGCGAAUACCGGAGAAUGUUAUCACGGGAGACACACGGCGGGUGCUAACGUCCGUCGUGAAGAGGGAAACAACCCAGACCGCCAGCUAAGGUCCCAAAGUCAUGGUUAAGUGGGAAACGAUGUGGGAAGGCCCAGACAGCCAGGAUGUUGGCUUAGAAGCAGCCAUCAUUUAAAGAAAGCGUAAUAGCUCACUGGUCGAGUCGGCCUGCGCGGAAGAUGUAACGGGGCUAAACCAUG
rnacentral:rRNA from 1 species